GUUGUGGCUCAGUUGGUAGAGUGCUUGCCUACCAUGUAUGAGACACUGGGUUAGAUCCUCAGCACUACA
rnacentral:tRNA from 1 species